ACGGGCGCUACGGCGGGUGAGGGGGGUCAGGCGGCGCAGAGCGCGCGAAGGCGGGAACAUCGCAACCCUCGACAACCCUUGAAUUCUGAGUUAUAGAUCCCAGAGCACAGUCUGGAAAUGGGAGUGUGGCAACAGCAUCCAGAGAUGCCAAAUCCAAGAUCAGGCUCCUGUCCAGCAGCUGAAGAGGCUCCUCCUUCAGACCAUUCCUCAGUUUCCUCCUCGGUUUUUCCACACCCACCAAAGUGAGAAGUGAAUGUUCCAUCACUGUCAUGGACUCACAACUUGUGGCCACACCACUGUAACAGGAACAGGAUAAGGGGUUUGUACUUAUCUGGCCAAGCUUUUCCAUUCGGAAGCAAGAGGAACCAGCUGGAAAUUCAAACAACAGACCCAAAGCAAACCACAAAUGAGUCCAGCCCAAUGGAAGCACCUGCAGUGAUUUAACAUAACAAUCUUGAGCCUGCCAAGAAUUUUUAAAGUCCAUCCUUUACAGGGACAAUGCUGAUGAGAAAUUGUAGCUGUGACUGUUCCAGGAAAGCUCCCCAGCAGUGCUCCAGCCACACCACCAUGGCCAGAUGCUGCUGGAUGUCCUGAGCUGCAAUAACCCGAGUAUGGCUCACUGUUCUUCAGGAAACUCGUUUGGAUGAGCUUGGUGAUCAAGGUGGGUGUCAUCUUUGACUGGGAGGAGGGAUUUUACAGGAGGAGUAAGAAGAUGGGCUGAUGACAUCAAACAAACCACCCAGCUGGUCCCAUCUGACGUUCUUGGUGGGGUACCUGUGUCCCUCAGCCUAUUUUAGGGCAGCACCAGCCCUCUUUCCUCUUUCUCCUGGUUUCCUGAGGGCUCUGUGCUGCUCUGCUCCCUGAUGUCCCAGCACUCUGUGUUUCCUGGGAGUGGAAGAUGGACUCAAGCACGAGAGGUAGGUGCAAGUAGGGCAGAGGACUGAACAAUUAUCAGAGGAGAUUUUUAUUUUCUAGGAGAAUUAUUUGGGUAUGAUAGUAAUUAAAAUGUUUGUGUAUAUGCAGCCUGUAUGUCAUGCUCAUACUUUUCUCUUUUGAGGGAUAAACUUCUAAGCCAUUUGAAUUAUGUUUUUUUUA